rnacentral:lncRNA from 1 species
UAGUAAGUAGUUUUGAUUUGUUUUUAGUUGCAAAGGAAAGAAUUAACAGUUUUGAGUAAAAUAUGUUGGGACCUGAUUUCAGCUUGACAGAGUUCCUGUAAUGCUGGAAGAGGUGCUCAUCCCCCGGGUGACUGCUAAGGGGGAAGUGGGAUGGGACAGCAGGUGCGAUGUGGCUGACGGAGACAUGCGGUGGCCAAGGUGUGAGGACGCAGUGCUGGAAGUCAGUCGACUGAAUUCACGAUGGGUUGGAGAAAAUACUCCCAUGAGGACUAAGUAAUUGGGUUUUACUCUAUAGCUGGAAGGCCAAUAUCCUGCAGUUGGUGAAACCCACUGAGAGGAUGAAUUCCGAAGAUGGAAUUUCUCCAUGGAAAAUGUGCUGCUCACAGCCCUUGGUAUUCGCACCUGAGGCCUGUUGGCAGUUGCUUUUUGGCUGGCUCAAACAGGCAAGGUGGUACAUAAAGGCGGUUUCUAUGGAAACCUGAGCCCAAAAUCUUUGGGGACUUUGAGAUCAAAGGCAACAUCCUGAGUUGUUUGGAGAGCCCCGUGGACAGUUCACGACUUUAUUGUUCUGCACAGAAAAAGCUAUGGCCAUGGCUUCGGAACACUUUCUUUUCCAGGUGCAGUAGAACUGUGGGCACAAAGUAGAAGUUUGCAGCUUGUUGUGAAUUUAUCUGUUCUAAUUAUUUUACCAGCUCUUCUGUAACAUUCAUCUCUGUUAUAAAGAGAUUGUAAUCUUCCAUUUUUUCCCUUUUAUAUCUUUAUUUUAAUAAAAGAUGAAAUAAAG